AGGCGCGUCGUUCCCUAUUUUGCGUCGUUUUCCGUUCCACGGAAUUUCGAAAACUGCAAAAGUCAAAGAAACGGGUCGCCGAAAAUUCGCGCGGAGGCGGCAAAAAACGAGAAACGAAGAGCCCGAAGAACAGUACCGGUCUCGAAAAUUCGUAAUUUUAAAGCGGAAAAAACGUAAAAUCUGGCUCGCUCUAUUAGUAACAAUUGCAAUUUUAUAAGUAAUGUAUAUUCAAUGAAGUUACAAUAUGUCAUACAAAGGAAUUAGCUGUUAGAAAUAUAUGAAAUAAAUUCAAAUUUGUCACGUUUUCCUAAUGCGUAGCGACUGUGACGACUGUUGACUGUCACAUUAAGUGCAUUAUACUGUAAAGUGUUAAUCAUUUUGUGUUUGACCUAUUGGGACUGAACAUGCGUGCUGUGUUAUAUUGAAAAUUUCAUUUCAAAUUACUCACCCGAUGGACGUCAUCAAAGGGCGGAUAGAACAUAAAUAUGAACGAAUCGUGAUAAUUUGAUGUCUCGGUGAUCAAGUCGCUACAUACGAAAUUAUACGAAGAUGUUAAAGUCGUGGUUUGGAUGUUCUAUAAAAAGGGACUGUGGUUCAAAAUAAAAUGACAAAAGUCAUGGUAAUGGUCGUGACAUUGACCGUUGCUAUGGCGUGGCGUGGCCGUGGCUGGCUACAAAAAUUGGCGAGAUGGCAAAAUGGGAACUAGGUGAAUGCAAUGUAUACAUUAUAGAGGUUAAUAAUUGACCUAGUUAUCAAACACCUAAAUGACCUAUUUAUUAACAAAUAAAUAAGACAGUUUGGUAAGGAGUAACCAAAAAUAAAUAUAAGUCCAUGCAUAGUUAAGAUACGCCUUGAUCUCGUCAUGGAGUUGUUCCGUGGCACAUAAGCAAACGGAAACGCCUCUACCUACAAGGAUUUUGGUAAAACACGUCAAUCCGAAUGCGACUGGAAUUUUAUCCCUAUUCAUACCUAUGGCAGGGAUUGUAAUGUGCCAUAUGUUGUUGUGAGUAAGAAAGUUUGUCAAUUCCGAGAUAGCAUUUGAAUAAUCUUCUAAGUAUGGUUGACUGUUUGACACGGCCCGCGUCGCUUCGUUAUACACGAUGCCCCGCGACUCGUGCCACCUUUAUCAGCCGUCGCCCUGCUAUGAGUAUUUGACUGACUAACACUGCGUGUCAUACGCUACGGUGCAAAGUCCAGCAAGUGCCGCACGGCCGACGAAAAGAAUUCUUCAAUGGAACAGUUGACGAGGAGGAGUGUAUCGUUGGAAAAUGUGUUCAUAGCUAUAGAAUAAUUAUAAAAUGUUUUAUGAAUGUUUAAAAUAGAUAUCAUAUUCAGUUAUACAAAAUGGUGGGGAAGUAAGCCGUUUGGUUUUUAGUGAAUGGAUCGUUCACCGCGUGUAAAAUAAACCGAUGAAGGCUCCAUGGGGGGGGGACACUUGCAUUUGCCCCUAAUAUAUCUCGCCACAAGGUAUAAAAGCACAUAUCCGACAAGAAACAGGAUAAUAAGGAAAAUUAUUUGAUUGUUUUUAAUUGCAUUCUCAAAUUCUAUUGUUUUUUCUGUAGCCUCCAUAGUUUUAAUGACGUAAUCCAAAUUUUCUGAAUAUUUCCCUAAUUCAUGUAAUCCCGAAUCGAUGGGGAUUAUGUUGGGUUUUAUGAUAGCCGGUAAAUUAUUGAUUUUAUUAAAUUUCGGUAAAAACAAACUGUUGUUUGAUAAUGUUAAUUGGGGCACAAAAUUUGUUUGGAAAGAUUGUUUAACGAAUGUAUGUGUGGCUAGAAUGUUGUUAGGUGUAUGAACUAAACACCUCGCGUUUAGCGAUAAAAUUAUGGUUUUUAUUAAUUCUUCCGUAUAUGAAUUUUCACCGCAUAUUAUAGUUAUUUCAAUGGAAUCAGGUGUUAUAUAAAUCCACGCGUUGUGUGAGUGUAAUUUAUGGGAGGUUUCGAAUUUUGAGGAAAUUUGUUUGAUAUUACAUAUUUCAGGAGUAAUAUGUGACUUUAAAUAAAUAAGUGUCUCACGGUUAGUUUGGAGUUUUUGGUUUGAUAUCGGUGGAAAUUCGCAAAUUGUAAGAAAUUUAUUUGUGUGACAAUCGGCUAAAUUUUUUUCCGAAAAUGGAAUGAAAGUCUCGUUAUCUAUGGUAACGGUAAUAAAUUGAUAAGUCGGCUGGAUUAAAAAAUUUAUAAAUUACCGGGUUUUUUUUUAUGAUCACUAAAAUCCAUCAAACAAUAGCUUAACCCGCUUUUUAGCUUAGUAGCAAUCAAGGGGACCGAGUUUUAGUCAUUAAAUGUUCUCCCCCCAUGUAAAAAUAGUUCUUAUAUAAGUUAUAUAAGAUCACAGCUGAAUAGUAUCCGCAAGCACACACCCAGAGAAAAACCUUGAUCUAUAUAAUAAAUUCAUUGUUCAAUUUGAUAAAUAUAUCAUUACUAUUGAACCUAUGAUAUAUUUAUCAAUAUGAUAUUUUUUUUUCUUGUCUUGAACAAUAAUUAUUUAUAAGAAUAGUUAUUUUGUUCGUAUUAAUAAAACAUUAUCAUAAACCGUUGAUAAAGUUUCUCUAUAAAAAUCGAUUGAGGUUUUUCUUUGGGUGCCUCCCUUUAUAAUAUAAGUUUCAGAAAUUGCUCGGACGACACUGCCGGUCGUCCUAACACUGCUCGUGUGUUCAAGAGUACCGCAUAUAUUGAGAGAAACAACUUUCGCACACGACAGAUGUAUUAUAACUAUUUUACUAUUUAAAAAUUUGUAAUUUUAAUAAAAAUGUAGAAUUAAGAAUAUACAAUUAAUUUUCUUCUUUUAGUUCAUUUGUGUAGGUAGUGCGAUCGUCCCGUCGCGCAAGUCACGAGCCGCCACUGGUAGAUCUCUUAAUUUUAUGUAAUUACUUAAAUGUCUUCAAAUUAUAAAAAUAGUAAAAUAUAAGUUGCCGUGCUUUACAUUAAUACACAGGAUUUUUAUUGACAAGUAUAAAUCAGUUUGUUGUUAAAUUUUAACGAUAAUAAAUUACUUUUUCGCAAUUGUUUACACCACAUUAUACUUGAAAAGAAUUGUUGAUACUUUGAUUUUGUUACUUACAAUAUCAAAAAGGAUGAAGAUAACGCGCUUUUUUCGGCGGUUGACGAGAUUUUUGACUUUUUGUGUUUCCAAUAUCAAUAAUCAUAAUAAAAAUGAUUUAGUAUUUUAGCUUAAACAAUAAAAAUUCUCUGGAUAUUCAGAAUUUCAUUAAGUACAGAGAAACAAUGCAUUAAUUUAUAUUAAAAUAUUGUUUUCUGUUAUUUAAGACAAAAAAUAUGUUGGAGUGCUUCCCUUAUCUUAUUUUUUAAAUUAAUGUAAUCAAAUAUUGUGUUCAACAGUGUCAAAUGCUUUAACUAGGUUUAAAUAGACAUUGCAUCAUGCAUUUUUUAAAUUUCAUCUAAAGAACUAUAAACUGAUUGUGUCUCACUUUAUUGCUUUAUCGUUCUGUAUUCAGAUUAUUAAUUCUAAAUAAUUGAGUUAUAAGAUAAUAUAAGUAUUGAUCUGAAAUCUUACCUGAUGAUUUUUCUUUGUUCUUAUAAUAACUUUUAAUAAUAUCAAGUAAUAACAUAACAACACGAACUCAAAUGUUUAGUUCAUAAAUUAACACGUAAGAAUUUCGACAAUGAUGUUUACGUAUCGAUGUUAAGGAUGCGAUUCGAACAGCUCAAUGAAUAUCUGGAGACAGACUCCCUCAAGCCCUCAUCACUCAGUCCUGACUGAGAGGGAUUACUCUGUCUUUUAUAGUAUUUUUUAUCCCCGAACAAUCAUCAUUGUGUCAUUCUUGUAAUGUUAUCUUUAAUUGUUAAGUAAGCAUAAAAUAUGAAAUGUAUAAAUUAUUACACAUGGAUAAUAUACAAAUCAUUUUUUACAACGUUAAUAGUUUGUUUUUACAUUCUAGACUAGGGUUAACACAUUGUGUUUAUUUAUUAAGAUAAGAGUAAAAAGAGCUGACAAGUAUAAUUUAUAAAUGUCCUAAAGAGUGAUUUUUAAUGGUAACUAAUAAUUGACUCAUGACUGAAU